GUUCGCCCUUGGUUCCAAGACUUUGAUUAUGGCUCAGGAUGAACGCUGGCGGCAUGCCUAAGACAUGCAAGUCGAACGAGGUGGCCCAAAGAAGAUUGAGUGCUUGCACAAGAUUGGACUUGGGAUUACCACCUAGUGGGCGGACGGGUGAGUAACACGUAGGUGACCUGCCUUUGAGUUUGGGAUAACUAUUAGAAAUGAUAGCUAAUACCGGGAUUAAAUACAGAUUCGUUUCUGUAUUAAAAGGAGCCUUUAAAGCUUCGCUUAAAGAUGGGCCUGCGGCGUAUUAGCUAGUUGGUGAGGUAAUGGCUUACCAAGGCGACGAUGCGUAGCCGAACUGAGAGGUUGAUCGGCCACAUUGGGACUGAGACACGGCCCAAACUCCUACGGGAGACAGCAGUUAGGAAUAUUCGUCAAUGGGGGAAACCCUGAACGAGCAAUGCCGCGUGAACGAUGAAGGCCCUAUGGGUUGUAAAGUUCUGUUGCAUGGGACGAACGAUUAGGAUAGGAAAUGAUCUUAAUGUGACGGUACCAUGCCAGAAAGCUCCGGCUAACUACGUGCCAGCAGCCGCGGUAAUACGUAGGGAGCAAGCGUUAUCCGGAUUUAUUGGGCGUAAAGGGUGCGUAGGCGGCUUGUUAAGUAUGAGAUUAAAGCCCGAGGCUUAACCUCGGUUCGUUUCAUAAACUGGCAGGCUUGAGUGUGGCAGAGGUAAACGGAAUUUCUAGUGUAGCGGUUAAAUGCGUAGAUAUUAGAAGGAACACCAGUGGCGAAGGCGGUUUACUGGGCCAUAACUGACGCUGAGGCACGAAAGCGUGGGGAGCAAAUAGGAUUAGAUACCCUAGUAGUUCACGCCGUAAACGAUGAGUACUAAGUGUUGGGGCAACCCAGUGCUGAAGUU
rnacentral:rRNA from 1 species